CCCCCCCCCCCCCCCCCCCCCCCCCCCCCCCCCCCCCCCCCCCCCCCCCCCCCCCCCCCCCCCCCCCCCCCCCCCCCCCCCCCCCCCGCGGCUGCGGCUGAGGGGUGAGGGGUGAGCCCGCUGGGCAGGACGCUGGCCCCUGGCCCGCUGUCCACAGUAGCCCGGACACAGCUAUGUGAACAUGUUUCUGUUCUCAGUUGGAAGUCUGUAACUCGUCUGAAGUGGCACCAAAGCAAAAGAAAACAAAACGUGGGCCUCGUGACGGACACCUUUGACUUGUGGCUGCUGUGGCUUCAUGUAGUUGUGCUUCUGGCUUUCUCCAAAGGAUGUGCAGCAGGUUCCCCCUCCUGGCAGCACGGCUCUCAGGACAGCAAGCCGUCUGCUCCAGGUUCUCAUCGUUCCCAGAGGCUUUCAAUUCAAUUACUUUCUAACAGCAAGGAAGACAUAUUCCUGUGAGCAAGGAUAUUGGAAUCAGCAUCCGCAAUCAGCCUCAUUUCUGGCUUGUGGUGAUUAAACUUGGAGAUUGAUUGGAAGACACUAAGGAAGAAUGUAUAAUGAAGUAUGUUGACAAGAAAGUAGGAAAAGAGUCAGCUGAUAGGGAUUCUAAUACCAUAACAAUUAUAAAUAAUCUAAGCAAUCUUAGGCUAGUUAACACUUUUAAAUUGAAGAUGCAGAACCUGAUUUCCCGCUUCUCUCCCAACCAUCCAUCUCUCAUUUAGGUGAUGGAGAAGUGGGCACAAGAACUACCUCCUACUUUGAGAUGAUUUUUCGGUGGGGGGAGGAGACUCUACUGAGCAGAAGUAGAGAAUUAGGACUCUCAGCGUGUCUGCUGGGCAUUCUCAGGUAUGUAAAAAAAAGGCUGACAAACAUUUGUGCUAAACCAAAAUAAAGACUUCAAAUAUAGCCCAGUAAAUUCAAGUUGAACUAUUACCAAAUACUAUAUUUCAAAAUUAAAUAUUGAUACAUCCAGGAGAUUUGUUUAGAUGCAACUGAAACACGAAAACCACUGAAUGUUUAACUGAAAUGUCAC
rnacentral:lncRNA from 12 species